rnacentral:rRNA from 1 species
AUUGAACGCUGGCGGCAGGCCUAACACAUGCAAGUCGAACGAGUGGCGGACGGGUGAGUAAUGUCUGGGAAACUGCCCGAUGGAGGGGGAUAACUACUGGAAACGGUAGCUAAUACCGCGUACCAUCGGAUGUGCCCAGAUGGGAGUAGCUUGUAGGUGAGGUAACGGCUCACCUAGGCGACGAUCCCUAGCUGGUCUGAGAGGAUGACCAGCGACAAUGGAACUGAGACACGGUCCAGACUAACACGGGGGGCAGCAGUGGGGAUUAUGGCAACAUGGGCGCAAGACUGAUGCAGCCGGGCCGCGUGGAUGAAGAAGGCGUUUGGGUUGUAAAGUACGUUCAGCGGGGAGGCGUUACCCGCAGAAGAAGAACCGGAUAACUCCGUGCCAGCAGCCGCUGUUAGAC